AACAAGAAUGUGUCCUCAGUACACGAAUGCCCCACUCGCACUAUCAUUUUCUAUGUUCAGUGGACUGUGAAAUUGGGGUAAAAUCUCUAAUUUGGCAUUAAAAUUAGAAAGAUCAUAUCAUAGGGAACAUGUGUACCAAGUUUGAAGUCGAUUGGACUUCAACUUCAUCAAAAACUACCUCGACCAAAAACUUUAACCUGAAGCGGGACAGACGGACGAACGAACGAACGGACGGACGAACGGACGCACAGACCAGAAAACAUAAUGCCCCUCUACUAUC
rnacentral:lncRNA from 1 species